rnacentral:rRNA from 1 species
UCCGUAGGCGGGUUUAUAGGUCAGUGGUGAAAGUUUGCGGCUCAACCGUAAAAUUGCCAUUGAUACUGUAGAUCUUGAAUUAGUGUGAAGUGGUUAGAAUGUGUAGUGUAGCGGUGAAAUGCAUAGAUAUUACACAGAAUAACCAAUUGCGAAGGCAGAUCACUAACACUAUAUUGACGCUGAGGGACGAAAGCGUUGGGAGCGAACA